rnacentral:tRNA from 1 species
AAAGGGAGACCUAAUUCGGGUAUGGGACGAAAAAAAAGUAGUCGCUACCAAGAAUCAAUCCCAAAAGGUCGGAACGAGGUAUGUGGCUUUCAAACUAGGUUCUGGGUUCACACAAGACCUGAAUCAGGAACAAGGGCUAUUAGCUCAGGUGGUUAGAGCGCACCCCUGAUAAGGGUGAGGUCCCUGGUUCGAGUCCAGGAUGGCCCACCUGUACAGGUGGCAAAAACAAGAGAAGCGAGGAAUCAGCACCUUAUCUUACUCAUAUAGUAAGAGAGAAUGCUGGCUCUGAGUAAAGAGUCCAGAGGAACCUUGAAAACUGCAUAGAGCUAGGUGAAAAAGCCAAAAAAGAAGACCGCAAG